rnacentral:lncRNA from 1 species
UUUUUAUAUAUAUGAAUAAGGUCGUUAGUUUUUUCGUUCGUUUCGUUUCACAUUGUCAUAUCAGGGCCUUUUCAGACUUUCCAGACAUUUAAAUGCUUUUACUACUUUUUCUUUCAUUUUAUUUUUAUUUUUCCAAUGCUUUUACUUCCUUUUUCUUUCAAUUAGUUUUAUUUUUUAGAAAUUCCAUGGUUCUAAAAUACUUAAAAUUAUUACUUCAUGCAUGUUUUCAAACAAAAAAGUCUCAUUUUUUACAUAUAAAUAAUGAUUUUUAUUUAAUUUCCACAGGUAAAUUUACCUUUGACCAAAUUAGACACUAAUGACUAAAACAACAUAGUUUGCAAUAAAAACAUGUAUUGUUCUUCUACUAAUCCCCCAUGUAGGAAUAGCCAGAAUAGUAAAAUACAAAAUGUAGGAAUAGCCAGAAGACACCUUUUUUUUU